rnacentral:rRNA from 1 species
GAUGAACGCUGGCGGCGUGCCUAACACAUGCAAGUCGAGCGAUGAAGCCCUUCGGGGUGGAUUAGCGGCGGACGGGUGAGUAACACGUGGGUAACCUGCCUUGUAGAGGGGGAUAGCCUUCCGAAAGGAAGAUUAAUACCGCAUAACAUCUUUUAUCGCAUGGUAGAAAGAUCAAAGGAGCAAUCCGCUACAAGAUGGACCCGCGGCGCAUUAGCUAGUUGGUGAGGUAACGGCUCACCAAGGCGACGAUGCGUAGCCGACCUGAGAGGGUGAUCGGCCACAUUGGGAACUGAGACACGGUCCAGACUCCUACGGGAGGCAGCAGUGGGGAAUAUUGCGCAAUGGGGGAAACCCUGACGCAGCAACGCCGCGUGAAUGAAGAGGUAUCUCGGUAUGUAAACUUCUAUCAGCAGGGAAGAUAGUGAC